rnacentral:pre_miRNA from 2 species
ACACCAAUCACCUAGGAAUCUUGUUAAAACAAAGAUUCUGAUUCACUAGGUCUGUGAUGGUGCCCAAGAAUUUGCAUUUUUAGCAAGCUCCCAGGUGAUGCCAAU